GACGAACGCUGGCGGCGCGCCUAACACAUGCAAGUCGAACGAGCGAGAGAGAGCUUGCUUUCUCGAGCGAGUGGCGAACGGGUGAGUAACGCGUGAGGAACCUGCCUCAAAGAGGGGGACAACAGUUGGAAACGACUGCUAAUACCGCAUAAGCCCACGGCUCGGCAUCGAGCAGGGGGAAAAGGAGCAAUCCGCUUUGAGAUGGCCUCGCGUCCGAUUAGCUAGUUGGUGAGGUAACGGCCCACCAAGGCGACGAUCGGUAGCCGGACUGAGGGGUUGAACGGCCACAGUGGGACUGAGACACGGCCCAGACUCCUACGGGAGGCAGCAGUGGGGAAUAUUGCACAAUGGGGGAAAACCUGAUGCAGCGACGCCGCGUGGAGGAAGAAGGUCUUCGGAUUGUAAACUCCUGUUGUUGGGGAAGAUAAUGACGGUACCCAACAAGGAAGUGACGGCUAACUACGUG
rnacentral:rRNA from 1 species